AUUGAACGCUGGCGGCAGGCCUAACACAUGCAAGUCGAACGAGUGGCGGACGGGUGAGUAAUGUCUGGGAAACUGCCCGAUGGAGGGGGAUAACUACUGGAAACGGUAGCUAAUACCACAUACCAUCGGAUGUGCCCAGAUGGGAUUAGCUCGUGGGGGGGGGAGCGGCUCACCUUGGCGGUGAUCCCAAGCUGGUCUGAGAGGAUGACCAGCCACACUGGAACUGAGGCACGGUCCAGACUCCUACGGGAGGCAGCAGUGGGGAAUAUUUCACAAUGGGCGCAAGCCUGAUACAGCCAUGCCGGGUGUAUGAAGAAGGCCUUCGGGUUGUAAAGUACUUUCAGCGGGGAGGCGUUACCCGCAGAAGAAGCACCGGCUAACUCCGUGCCAGCAGCCGCGGUAAUUC
rnacentral:rRNA from 1 species